rnacentral:rRNA from 1 species
UACGUAGGGGGCGAGCGUUGUCCGGAAUUAUUGGGCGUAAAGAGCUCGUAGGCGGUUUGUCGCGUCUGCUGUGAAAACGCGAGGCUCAACCUCGCGCCUGCAGUGGGUACGGGCAGACUAGAGUGCGGUAGGGGAGAUUAGAAUUCCUGGUGUAGCGGUGGAAUGCGCAGAUAUCAGGAGGAACACCGAUGGCGAAGGCAGAUCUCUGGGCCGUAACUGACGCUGAGGAGCGAAAGCGUGGGGAGCGAACAGG